AGAUUGAACGCUGGCGGCAUGCCUUACACAUGCAAGUCGAACGGUAGAGUAGCAAUACUUGAGAGUGGCGAACGGGUGAGUAAUAUAUCGGAACGUGCCCAGUCGUGGGGGAUAACGUAGAGAAAUUUACGCUAAUACCGCAUACGAUCUAAGGAUGAAAGCGGGGGACCGUAAGGCCUCGCGCGAUUGGAGCGGCUGAUAUCAGAUUAGGUUGUUGGUGAGGUAAAAGCUCACCAAGCCGACGAUCUGUAGCUGGUUUGAGAGAACGACCAGCCACACUGGGACUGAGACACGGCCCAGACUCCUACGGGAGGACAG
rnacentral:rRNA from 1 species